AUGUGGGACGCCUACCACAGCGUGGUGUGCCAAGCAGUGCCAUGUCCGCACCAAGGAUCUGAACCGGCGAACCCUGGGCCGCUGCAGCAGAACAUGGGCACUUAACCACUGCGCCACCGAGCCGGCAACUUGAAAAAAAGCUUUAUUAACACGAGCCUGCCAACUCUUUCUUGUUUGAAAUAAAUUCAAGAUAUCAACAACCACAACCAUCUAUUACCCCUCCUUUCAUCCUGGCUCCAACCAGUGGAGAACUGACAUAGACAUCCAAAUGGGGACCCAAAAAAACAACUUUAUUAGGGGGUUAGUCAAGCGCCAAAUGUUCCACCGAGUAAUAGGGAAUAUCAUAAAGCCAAAUAAGGGAACACAAGCUGGCAUCUCUCAAUAAGUUGAAUUUAACAACCACGCCUGGUGCCAGUCUUAUGCACAGCAGCCUAUCAGGGACUUGUGUCUUCUACCUAAAUGAAGCUGGGCCUCUGUUCCCUGCACCUGCCCCCAGUGGCUGCUUCUGGGGGCUGUGAAGUGGGCAGUUCAGCUAUCGCCCAGAAGGCUCUGAAACAGGUCAAAACAGAAUAUUAAGAUAAUUUCAAGGCCAUAUACACUGUAGGCCAAAAUUCAUCGCCUUUUCUAUUUUCCAUCUCAAAUGAUAUUCCAUUCAAUGCUCAACAUCAUUCACAAGGGAUCCUACAAUGAACACCACAUGAAAGUCUAAAAUACUCCAAAUAAUGCAAAGCAAGCAACACAAACACACCUAAAUUUUAACAUGAACUCACAUCAAGGAUUACAUUUCCAAAGAAAGGUGGAAUUCCAAAGAUGAAAUCCUUUGACGUUGGUCUGAAGACAUGCAACUUUUUCUCUCACUCAGAUUUGCUGUAUAGUAGGAAUCUUCCUCUCAAGCACAUAGUCCCGAGAGCACAAGUCUCUCUUUCGUGAGUGUUACAGAGGAUCACGGACCCCAGUGGAACAAAUGCACUUUGAGGAGCAAGCCAGAGCUUAGAGGUACCAUCCAAAUGCGAGCUUCCAAUAGGAUGGAUCCUGAGAGAGGAGCCAUUGAAAUGGUGCCCAGUGACUGACAGGCACGCCUGUAUCUCCUUCUUGAUUGCUAUCCCUCUGCUUCUCAGCUGAGGUAAAGAAUUUAUCUUACAUCUUCUUCAACUCCCCAGCUAUGUGCUCAGGAAGGUGCUAAGGCUAUCCGUGCAUUUUUAGGCCAUUCCCAGAACUCUUGGUGCAACAGGUACCAGCUGCCACGUUGAGGGUCUGGCUCAAGUUCCCGCAGCGCAAAAUCAGUUAAAUACAAAUAGCAAUAUCAGUUAGCCUUAAAGAGGGACGAAAUUCUGACGCAUGCUGCAACGUGGAUCAGCCUUGAAGACAUUAUGCUAAGUGAAAGAAGCUAUUCACAAAAAGAUAAAUACUGUAUGAUUCCACUUGUAUGCAGUACCCAGAAUAGUCAAAUGCAUACAGACAGAAAGUAGAAUGGUGGUUGUCGGGAGCUGGAGGGAGGAGGAAGUUAUUAUUUCAUGGAUACAGAGUUUCAAUUUGAGAAGAUGAAAAAGUUGUGGAGAUGGUCAGCGGUGAUGGUAGCCCAACAAUGGGAAUGUACUUAAUGCCACUGAACUGUAUGCUUAAAAAUUGUUAAGGUUGUAAUUUUAUGUUAUGUGUAUUUUACCACAAUUUUUUAAAAGUCUUAAUUUAAAAAAAUCUCUGAGACUGAUUGUGGAACUAAGAACACCUUUCUUCGAUUCUCUUCAACCCUUAGCUAACCAGUGAUGGCAGAUGUCAUGAAACCAUCAGGACAACAGGAAAACUCCAUAGCCUACCCAGCCGUCCUGUACUCCCCACUUUGGUCUGUGGUGGAAGGCUCUUCCUCCAACAUUUUCACCUUUAGGCCAAUGCUGGGAAGAGAGCUUCCACUCCACGUUCUUGUCAUCCAAAAGGAAGAGAAGCAUCUAAGUUGAUUGGUGAGAGCUGACAUUUACGGGGCAAGGUCAUGGGUGAAAGUUCUCUGCACUUGCCAUUCUCUCUGUGUGGUUAAGCCAACAAAGCCCGGCCCACUCUAGCAACCCACAGUUGUCUCUCUCUGGCCCACCUCCUCUGCCUGUGGCUGGGUAUGAGUCAGAUCAGCCUUGUGGAAUGGACUCGACUGAAUUUGGGGGAGGGAGGAGGAGGCUGCCCUCUGGACUGGACCUAGGGUGUUACUGGGCCCUUGCCCAGCCCAGGACCAAAGUGACACUUUGAUUUGAUCCCCAUCUGGGUCUCAGUUUCUUGAGCCUCUUCUCCUCUAACAGAUGCAAAGGAAGGAAAACUUUACCUCUACCCAUCUUAGGUCUUCAUCUGGGGCUCUUUAACAAAAAAAGAAAACAGAACAAGAAGAGAAAAAUAAAGCAUGCAGCACAUAUCACAUGGGAGAAGCCUAAACGAGAAGUAACUCAAAGGAGUGACUUACAACUCCAGCUUAUACAGCAUUCUUCAACCAAAAACAAGAAAUUUCUAGAGAAAUGACAGGACAAACGAAAGCACUUUUAGGCUUCCAAGGGUGGCAAACUAUGGGAGUGUAAUAUACAGGAGGAAACUAAUGAUGUAAUGGUUGUUUGUAGAUUCCUCUGGUGUCUCUGGACUCAUAAGAAUCUCUCUCUAGCAAAAGGAGAAUUUAUAGAAUUUAUACCCUGCUUCUAGGCAGAAAGGGGGAGUUAUUCCUGCAUUUGCUGCUUCUUAACUGCUUUCAGUUCAAAAUAAUUUUUCUGUCAAAGAGGCAUAUUUUGGUGACAUAUUCUGGUUUCCUUCACAGACAAGGCACAAGAAAGAGAGGGUAGAGGAUAAAGGUUUCAUUCCCCCCAAAUCACCAUAAAA
rnacentral:lncRNA from 1 species